rnacentral:rRNA from 1 species
GCAUAUCAAUAAGCGGAGGAAAAGAAACCAACAGGGAUUGCCUCAGUAACGGCGAGUGAAGCGGCAAAAGCUCAAAUUUGAAACCCUCGGGAUUGUAAUUUGAAGAUUUGGCAUUGGAGGAAGCUAACCCAAGUUGCUUGGAAUAGUACGUCAUAGAGGGUGACAACCCCGUCUGGCUAACCGUUCUCCAUGUAUUGCCUUAUCAAAGAGUCGAGUUGUUUGGGAAUGCAGCUCAAAGUGGGUGGUAAACUCCAUCUAAAGCUAAAUACUGGUGAGAGACCGAUAGCGAACAAGUACUGUGAAGGAAAGGUGAAAAGAACUUUGAAAAGAGAGUGAAAUAGUAUGUGAAAUUGUUGAUAGGGAAGGAAAUGAGUGGAGAGUGGCCGAGGUUUCAGCCGCCCCUCGUGGGCGGUGUACUGCCGACGCCGAGUCAUCGAUAGCGAGACGAGGGUUACAAAUGGGAGCGCCUUCGGGCGUUCUCCCCUAACCCUCCACACUGCCACCGACGACAUAAUCCACCCAUUUCACCCGUCUUGAAACACGGACC